rnacentral:rRNA from 1 species
GACGAGCGCUGGCGGCGUGCUUAACACAUGCAAGUCGAACGGAAAGGCCCUGCUUUUGUGGGGUGCUCGAGUGGCGAACGGGUGAGUAACACGUGAGUAACCUGCCCUUGACUUUGGGAUAACUUCAGGAAACUGGGGCUAAUACCGGAUAGGAGCUCCUGCUGCAUGGUGGGGGUUGGAAAGUUUCGGCGGUUGGGGAUGGACUCGCGGCUUAUCAGCUUGUUGGUGGGGUAGUGGCUUACCAAGGCUUUGACGGGUAGCCGGCCUGAGAGGGUGACCGGCCACAUUGGGAGUGAGAUACGGCCCAGACUCCUACGGGAGGGAGCAGUGGGGAAUAUUGCACAAUGGGCGGAAGCCUGAUGCAGCAACGCCGCGUGCGGGAUGACGGCCUUCGGGUUGUAAAGCGCUUUCGCCUGUGACGAGGCGUGAGUGACGGUAAUGAGUAAAGAAGCACCGGCUAACUACGUG